ensembl:lncRNA
AUGGCAGCCAUCAUGGGAGCCUCUAAAUCUCAGAACAAAGCAGCAAGUCUGGACAAUGGAGGCAGAACAAAGCAGCAAGUCUGGACAAUGGAGGCAGAAAUCCCAGGACUAACAGAGCAAUUUCACAAUUCCAGCAUUGUUUUAAAAAUGAGAUAUAACAACUUCGGAAUAUUGGGGAGGGUGGAGGAGAAUUCCAUCUCUUGGCAUGAUCUUACUGUAGUGGAAAACAUCAAUCCCACCAAGCUACUCAGCUCACCUUUAAAAAAGAAAGUCCCAGCAGCAUCUGCCAGACCCCAUGCAAGAUGUUUUGGAUCAUAGAGAUGCAAAAUGGUGGUCAUGACGCCAAGACAUUUGCUGUUGUUGCUCCUUUCAGUGAAAGCAAGGGCAUGUCAGAAAAAAGGAUGCUAAUGAAUAGGUCCAAACAAGUAGCUUUUCAAUGUUCUGGAUACACAUGAACAUCCUGGAAACAAUUAUCAGAGUGGGUUUUGUGCACUCCUUUAAAUGUUGGACAGUAUUAAGAAAUUAAAUUGUUGUUACAUUGCUUCACAAACUAAGAUAGGUAGUAUCAUUUGAUGAAUAGCUUGUGUUUUGUGUACAGAUUGUCCUUUUUGUAUUUGUUCUGUGUCUACAUCUAUAUGUGUAUGUGUGCUCUUAGCUUCAAAAGAGGAAAAACUGGUUUUGUGCAGAGAUACACAUUUUAUACACAAUGUGUUUGGUACACUUUGCAACAACUAGCAGAGGUCUUUUAAGUGAGUCAGUAAAUCCUCAAGGUAUGGUCUUGUUUUUCUGCAGCCCCAUCUACACUGCCAUAUAAUGCAGUUUCAUGGCUGCAUUGAACUGCAUUAUAUGAGUCCACACUGCAUAAUGCAAUUCAAUACAGUUCAACUGCAUUAUGAAACUGCAUUAUAUGGCAGUGUAGAUGGGGCCUGAGAAGUCAAAUUCAACACAUUAACCACAGGAUUUCUAUAUACUCUUAAGUACUAGUCCACCAUUUUGUCUUGACUUAUAUACCUUACCUCAAAGUGUGUUCAGAAGUACUCAUUACAUUGGGCGAGAGUUUGUCUACUGUCUCUUAGAUUAAAAGACAAUAUGAUAAUAUAUUUUCCAUUUUUCUUCCACUAGGGGAAUAUUUUUAAGACUAAUCUAUAACUAUUUUGUAUUCUUAUUCUCAGUGCCCUCUGUGAAGUAUUCAGUGACAUAGUAAUAAUGGGCAUUGAUAGAGUCAUCUUUGAUUGCUUAAGCCUCUUUCAAAGUCUGUCUGACUGUGCAAUCAUUGCCAUACUGUUUAGAAGUGGAAUUGAUAAUUUAAUUACAGGUUCCAUAAGUACCUUGUCAAUUUUUAUAUUUAGGUCUCAGCUGAAACAUAAAACAUGCCAUUGGAAUUAUCGUUAAUCUAACUACUGGUUGUAUCAUUUUGUCUCAAUGAACAUUAGUAUCAAAAUUGUAACACAGCAAUUUAACCAUCCCCAUUAAGUGACAUGAAACUAUUUAUGCUAUUCACACCUUUUCCUUAAUUUCUUUUUGUAUCACAUGCAUAUAAAAUGAAAUAUAUAGUCAGCAUUAUUUCUCAUUUCUUUAUAGCUAGAAAUAUGUGUAGACUUUAAAACUAUCCUCAAUUAGUCAAUUAGUAUUUAGCCAGUCAGAUAUUGAGCUUGCCAAAGCAGUUUCUCCAGUGCCACUAUUGUCUGAAUGUUUGACUUUCUUUAUUAACAGAAAGGUGGGAUAAAAAAAGUAAAUAAUAAUAAUGUUUCCAGUUUUGGCAAUAUGGUUCUUAGUGGUCAACUAGUUUUUAAGCAGUAAAAAAAUGUUUUUUUUUAAGUCUUCUUAUUUUCAAGAUUUGACAUAAAAGCUUUAAUAAUAUCUAGACACAUGAGAAAACUUUACUUG